UGCUCCUAGAUUUCCUAUUCUUUCGGAGUUGGCUCGUGAUGUGUUGGCCAUUCCAAUUUCUAGUGUGGCAUCGGAAUGCGCAUUUAGCACCGGUGGCCGUAUUCUUGAUUCAUUUAGGAGUUCAUUGACUCCUAAAUGUGUGGAAGCUCUUAUUUGUGUUCAAGAUUGGCUUAGAGAAGAGAACAAUCCUAUUAGUGUUGAAGAAGACUUGAAGUAUCUUGAGGAACUCGAGCUCGAUAUGGAAAAUAAUGGAAGCACAACUAGCAUUGUUUGAUGUAUAGUUGCAACUUGCAUCUUGAGAGGUUCAAGCAUUGUGGUCAAGUCUAUAAUGUGUAGUUGCAACAGUGUUGACUGUUUGCAUCUGGUGAUUCGCAAUG